AUGCAGGCUCCAAAUCCCCACUGCAGCAACCUCGGGCAGCAUCACCCCUCGCAUCUGGGGCAGGAAUUUAAGACCUGGUGUUGGGAAGGGCCAGGGAUCCCGCCGGGAGCGUCCUGGGUUCGGAUUUCCCUGGGAUGCCAACGGGGCUGCUCCGUCCUCGGGGUUUUCUCAUGCGACGCCCCUACGGGCUCUGCCGUUCCCAAAGCAGCUGAGGCAGGACUGAGGCAGGCCAUGCUCUUAUUUAUUUAUUUAUCUAUCUAUUUAUGGGGAAAAAAUACGUUUCUAACCUCAAAACAAAGCCUCUCAGCCCCGUGCCCGAGGAAAGGAGCUGCACUGCCGCGGAGCGCUCUCGCCGCGCUGCCCCGCGCGAAGCCCCGGCUUGCAAAACCCCACAGAAAAGCGCGGGCACCCACGGUGCCGCCUGAAAUAAAUCCUCGUCCCCCACCAGAAAUAGGGCACGGCAAAGUAGGGCAGCGGUUCCCUGCGAAAGCCGGUUCUUUAGUCCUCGUGCGGGGAAAGAGGGGUGGGACACGGCCGUCAGAGCCACGCAGCCGAGGCAGGGGAUGGAGCCGGCCCCAUCCCACCCCAAAAAAGCCUGGGGGUGGUGGGGAUAUUGGGAUCUGGUCAGGGUUUGCUGGGCCUUUCACCCUUUGGAAGAAUGGGGAGAUUUCCCCCAUUUUGGUGAAACCCGGAAAAAAUCAAGAGGGAAAGGUGAAAACCAGGGGAGCCUCCCGGGGGGUUUCGGAUCCCAACCCGGUAAAACCCCGGUGCGGGAGGAGCAGGGCUGGUGGCAGAGGUUCCUCAUUGAAAAGCCACAGCUGCUCAGAGCUGGGGGGUUUCGGUGACCUUUGGUGGGUAAAAAACACACAAAAAAGACACAAAAACGGUCGUUCUGAUGGCUUUGGGCCCCUCCUUGUGACAUUGGUCCUGCCCCGACCUGCCAGCGGGGCCCCCGUGUCCCCACACCAAAGGGAUUUCGGGUACAUCGUGCCCUGGGGGGUGCUGCCCUCCCAUUGA
rnacentral:lncRNA from 1 species